CAGAAACGCGAUUCAUUUAUUAACGAUACCGCUGCGUGUUGAUGCUCAACGGUUCUGCUUCUGCUUUAUUUGGUGCUAGUUUAAAACAGACAAUAUUGGCUAUACUGGGUUCAAAAUAGGUGCCCUGCCUGUCUCUGGGUCUGCUGACAUGAGGGGUGAAAAUAAAGAGAAAGAAAACCAAGCCCAGCACCCCUGAGCCACAGUGCCUUUUAUCUUCCAGAGAGCCAGGGAGUCAUCAGCAGUUUAAUUUAAGGCCCGAGUCUGCCAAUCACCAUGCGUCUUGUGUCUCAGAGGACAUGGAUGGUUUGUGAUGUAAGUCCGCAGAUCAGGAACAAUUGUGGAGAGCCACUUAACAAGAGAUAAACAAGGACAAACUGACCUGCUGGACCCCAAGAGGCAGUUCAAAGGGAAGCGAACAUUAGGGACACUUUUGAUCAUCGCUUAAAAGAAUAUGGGGUCAUCGCAGAACUUCUUGCUGCAGUGAUAUAAGCGGAGGAAUGCUGAGAAUGCUACAGGCUGCUCUCUCUCUGUCCCAACAAGACACAAACGAAUAGUACUGGCAUCUCCUUUUAGACACAAUCUCACCCACAUCCACUCCUACUACAGGACACAAUCUGAGGAAUGCAAGACUCUAACAGGAGAAGUCAAUUUCUCUUUGUUUUUCUCCAUCUCCCUCAUUUUUUGCUGUCCACCUACUGUUACAUACUCAUCUGGUACAGUAUCUAACUGGUUUAUAAUUUAACAAUGAACUGAUACACAUCAAACAUCAUAAAGGGAUCAUUCAGUAUGGUAAAUCGGGGCAAGUUGUGACACUUUUUACUCCAGUGAAUAUUUCUCUUGAUAGGUUUAUUGCUGAAAGUCAGUUUCUGUGCUAUAUGUCUUCAAUUAACACAUGCUAGCCUUUUGUGACAACAUGCCCCAAUGGUAGGUCAUGUUCUCUUGCUGUAUGGGGCAAGUUGUCACAAUGGGAACCUGCCAUUAAAUAACCUAUUAUAGGCUUUACAGCAAGAUUUAAACAGUAAAACAUUUAUAAAGCACAAAUUAAUAUUCAAAACUGAUAUUUUUUAACUUUCGACCUUCAAUUCAAGUUAUACUCUUUGUGACAACUAGCUCCAGUUGUCCCAAUUCUGAAAUAACAAAAA